rnacentral:rRNA from 1 species
ACGCCGCGUGCGGGAUGAAGGCCUUCGGGUUGUAAACCGCUUUCAGCAGGGAAUAAGCGAAGUGAAGGUACCUGCAGAAGAAGCACCGGCUAACUAUGUGCCAGCAGCCGCGGUAAUACAUAGGGUGCAAGCGUUGUCCGGAAUUAUUGGGCGUAAAGAGCUCGUAGGUGGUUUGUUACGUCGGAUGUGAAAUGCAGGGGCUCAACCCCUGACUUGCAUCCGAUACGGGCAAGCUAGAGUUUGGUAGGGGAGACUGGAAUUCCUGGUGUAGCGGUGGAAUGCGCAGAUAUCAGGAGGAACACCGAUGGCGAAGGCAGGUCUCUGGGCCAAUACUGACACUGAGGAGCGAAAGCGUGGGGAGCGAACAGGAUUAGAUACCCUGGUAGUCCACGCCGUAAACGGUGGGCGCUAGUUGUGCGAACCUUCCACGGUUUGUGCGACGCAGCUAACGCAUUAAGCGCCCCGCCUGGGGAGUACGAUCGCAAGAUUAAAACUCAAAGGAAUUGACGGGGCCCCGCACAAGCAGCGGAGCAUGCGGCUUUAUUCGACGCAACGC